rnacentral:misc_RNA from 1 species
CCGAGUUUACAACUCCCAAACCCCUGUGAACAUACCUAUAUGUUGCCUCGGCGGAUCAGCCCGCGCCCGUAAAACGGGACGGCCCGCCGCAGGAUCCACAAACUCUGUUUUUAUUGUAACUUCUGAGUAACAAAACAAAUAAAUCA